AUGCUCCAGAAAGAACUACAAGAUGCUGGUCUUAUUCCUCUUCCGAAGGAGCAGGUGUCAGUGUUUGGAGAGAGUGUCUGGUGGUUCCUUCCACCUCUGAAGCAGGUCUCUCACAAUUGUCGCCUCCCCGGAUGGUUCCUCCAGCUCUGACGUUUGUAGAAUCAAAGCUUUCGCUAUCCAGUCAUCACUCCCCACACGCAGGGAGCACAGAUGUUGUGUGGUUAGGAUCCUGGCCUUUUAUAAUUCCUUGGCAUUAGGAAUGGAUAAAAGGGAAAGCAAAAGUAUCAUGGGAUUGUGUGACUUUUGCUAAUAUUUUACUGGAAGUUAACUGCUUAUCCUUUGUCUGAGGGAAUUGAAUGAUCCACAGCCAUUCAGAGGCGCGAGGAGUGCCCAGUUAUAGUGAUGCAAACACUAUGAUGACAUUUCCUUCAAAGAAAUCUGUAAGUCUGUUUCUGUUUAAUUCUAUCAGCUAUUUUCGGUAAUAUUACGACUUAAACAUUUAGAUAUUUAUUGCAUGUGCCAUAAAUAUAUAUUGGUUGAAUUUCUGAACCUAAACUUGUGGUCAAGUGCUAAAAUCAAUAGGAUAUUAUUGACAUGAUGGCUGCAGAACUAUCUAUGAUAUACCAACAGGUCUGACUUUUGAAAGGAGAUAUGAACAUGUCCUCAGAAUAUUUUACAAGCAGAGAAAUUCAUAUAAAUACAAGGGAGUCCUUGCCCUCCCCUUUAUUGUAUAAAAAUGGAAUUAGCAAAUGAAGUACUUUUAUACGUAAUACAUUUGUAACAUAUAAAUGUAUAUAUAAUGCUACUAGGUUUUUCUAAGCACCAAGCAUGACAGCCAGCUGCA
rnacentral:lncRNA from 1 species